rnacentral:lncRNA from 1 species
UCUUUACCUCUAUGCACCAGAAGCUGUGUUAGGUGAGAAAGUUACAGUGUUGUUUACAUGUGCAAUUACAUGUAUCAGAGAUUCUGCAAAUCCAUAUCUUACCCAAUGUUAGGGGAGCCUCAACUCGCUCUCACUAGUCAGGCUUCUAUGGCUUUCAUUAGCCCCAACUAGUGGAAAGGAAUGUUCGGAUUCUAGGGGCUGAGAAAUAAGGAACUGGCCCAACCUUUUGCCCCAACUCCUAUCUUUUUUUUUGGCGGGGGGUGCUUUU